rnacentral:rRNA from 1 species
CAAACGACUCUCGGCAACGGAUAUCUCGGCUCACGCAUCGAUGAAGAACGUAGCAAAAUGCGAUACUUGGUGUGAAUUGCAGAAUCCCGUGAACCAUCGAGUUUUUGAACGCAAGUUGCGCCCGAAGCCAUUCGGUCGAGGGCACGUCUGCCUGGGCGUCAUGCA